rnacentral:rRNA from 1 species
CCUACGGGAGGCUGCAGUGGGGAAUAUUGCGCAAUGGGCGAAAGCCUGACGCAGCGACGCCGCGUGAGGGAUGAAGGUCUUCGGAUCGUAAACCUCUGUCAGCAGGGAAGAACGGUCACUGUGCUAAUCAGCAGUGAAUUGACGGUACCUGCAAAGGAAGCACCGGCUAACUCCGUGCCAGCAGCCGCGGUAAUACGGAGGGUGCGAGCGUUAAUCGGAAUUACUGGGCGUAAAGCGCUCGUAGGCGGUAUGUCAAGUCAAGGGUGAAAUCCCCGCGCUCAACGUGGGAACUGCCUUUGAAACUGGCAAACUGGAGUGUGUGAGAGGAUAGUGGAAUUCCAGGUGUAGGAGUGAAAUGCGUAGAUAUCUGGAGGAACAUCAGUGGCGAAGGCGACUAUCUGGCACAUAACUGACGCUGAGGAGCGAAAGCGUGGGAAGCAAACAGGAUUAGAUACCCUAGUAGUC